rnacentral:rRNA from 1 species
AGCGAACGCUGGCGGCAGGCCUAACACAUGCAAGUCGAACGAACCUUUCGGGGUUAGUGGCGGACGGGGGAGUAACACGUGGGAACGUGCCUUUAGGUUCGGAAUAACUCAGGGAAACUUGUGCUAAUACCGAAUGUGCCCUUCGGGGGAAAGAUUUAUCGCCUUUAGAGCGGCCCGCGUCUGAUUAGCUAGUUGGUUGAGGUAAUGGCUCACCAAGGCGACGAUCAGUAGCUGGUCUGAGAGGAUGAUCAGCCACAUUGGGACUGAGACACGGCCCAAACUCCUACGGGAGGCAGCAGUGGGUAAUCUUGCGCAAUGGGCGAAAGCCUGACGCAGCCAUGCCGCGUGAAUGAUGAAGGUCUUAGGAUUGUAAAAUUCUUUCACCGGGGACGAUAAUGACGGUACCCGGAGAAGAAGCCCCGGCUAACUUCGUG